rnacentral:misc_RNA from 1 species
AGUAAUAGGACUUGAAAUAGCCAAAAAAUGUAAAGGUGUACCUUUGGUGGCAAAAACAAUCGGAGACAUACUUCACUGUUUACCUGUUAAUGAAUGGGAUUCUUUGGUUAAGGGUAACCUGUGGGACUUGCCCCAGAUUGAGAACCAUGUAUUCCCUAUUUUUCUGCUUAGCUAUUGCUGUCUGCCACAACACAUAAAGAAGUGUUUCUCUUAUUGCUGUUUAUUCCCACCAGAAUACGUCUAUAAAAUGAAGGAUAUUGUUCUGCUGUGGAUGGCCGAAGGCCUGAUUCAUCCGAUAGACGGAAGAAGAAUCGAGGAUAUUGGUCGAGAAUAUUUUGAAGAACUUGUAUGGGGGUCUCUUUUCAACUCUGGAAAUGAAUAUUUUCAUGACUUUGAUGGAUCUUAUACCAUGCAUGAGUUCAAUCAUCAUGUAGCUGCUUCUGUCUCUUCGAGUAUAUGUCAGCGUAUAAAAGACAACCAGUCUUCUUACUCUUUUGAUAGGGUUCAACACUUGUCAAUUUGUCAUGGCAAUACUCAGUCCAAUGGCCUACAUAGUUUCUCCAAAUGUCACAAUUUGCGGACGUUCACGUUGUUAU